rnacentral:rRNA from 1 species
UAUACAUGCAGUCGAGCGAAUGGAUUGAGAGCUUGCUCUCAAGAAGUUAGCGGCCGACGGGUGAGUAACACGUGGGUAACCUGCCCAUAAGACUGCGAUAACUCCGGGAAACCGGGGCUAAUACCGGAUAACAUUUUGAACUGCAUGGUUCGAAAUUGAAAGGCGGCUUCGGCUGUCACUUAUGGAUGGACCCGCGUCGCAUUAGCUAGUUGGUGAGGUAACGGCUCACCAAGGCAACGAUGCGUAGCCGACCUGAGAGGGUGAUCGGCCACACUGGGACUGAGACACGGCCCAGACUCCUACGGGAGGCAGCAGUAGGGAAUCUUCCGCAAUGGACGAAAGUCUGACGGAGCAACGCCGCGUGAGUGAUGAAGGCUUUCGGGUCGUAAAACUCUGUUGUUAGGGAAGAACAAGUGCUAGUUGAAUAAGCUGGCACCUUGACGGUACCUAACCAGAAAGCCACGGCUAACUACGUGCCAGCAGCCGCGGUAAUACGUAGGUGGCAAGCGUUAUCCGGAAUUAUUGGGCGUAAAGCGCGCGCAGGUGGUUUCUUAAGUCUGAUGUGAAAGCCCACGGCUCA